rnacentral:rRNA from 1 species
UACGUAGGGUGCAAGCGUUGUCCGGAAUUAUUGGGCGUAAAGAGCUCGUAGGCGGUUCGUCGCGUCGGCUGUGAAAACCCGGAGCUCAACUCCGGGCCUGCAGUCGAUACGGGCGGGCUUGAGUGUUGCAGGGGAGACUGGAAUUCCUGGUGUAGCGGUGAAAUGCGCAGAUAUCAGGAGGAACACCGGUGGCGAAGGCGGGUCUCUGGGCAACUACUGACGCUGAGGAGCGAAAGCGUGGGGAGCGAACAGG